rnacentral:rRNA from 1 species
AGAGUUUGAUCCUGGCUCAGAUUGAACGCUGGCGGCAUGCCUUACACAUGCAAGUCGAACGGCAGCACGGGGGCAACCCUGGUGGCGAGUGGCGAACGGGUGAGUAAUGCAUCGGAACGUGCCCAGUAGUGGGGGAUAACUAGUCGAAAGAUUAGCUAAUACCGCAUACGACCUAUGGGUGAAAGCGGGGGACCUUUACCGGCCUCGCGCUAUCGGAGCGGCCGAUGUCUGAUUAGCUAGUUGGCGGGGUAAAAGCCCACCAAGGCGACGAUCAGUAGCUGGUCUGAGAGGACGACCAGCCACACUGGGACUGAGACACGGCCCAGACUCCUACGGGAGGCAGCAGUGGGGAAUUUUGGACAAUGGGCGCAAGCCUGAUCCAGCCAUGCCGCGUGCGGGAAGAAGGCCUUCGGGUUGUAAACCGCUUUUGGCAGGAACGAAACGGCGCGAGCGAAUAUCUCGCGUUAAUGACGGACCUGCAGAAUAAG